rnacentral:rRNA from 1 species
UCAGAACGAACGCUGGCGGCAUGGAUUAGGCAUGCAAGUCGAACGAAGUAGCAAUACUUAGUGGCGCAAGGGUGAGGAACGCGUGAGUGACCUACCCGCAAGUUUGGAACAGCUCCUGGAAACGGGAAUUAAUACCGGAUGUGAUCAAUGGACUGCAUGGUUUAUUGAUUAAAGCAGUAAUGCGCUUGCGGAUGGGCUCGCGUCCCAUUAGCUAGUUGGUGAGGUAACGGCCCACCAAGGCCAUGAUGGGUAGCUGGUCUGAGAGGACGACCAGCCACACUGGGACUGAGAACUGCCCAGACUCCUACGGGAGGCUGCAGUCGAGAAUUUUGGGCAAUGGACGAAAGUCUGACCCAAGCAAUGCCGCGUGCGGGAUGAAGGUCUUCGGAUUGUAAACCGCUGCUUGGAGGGACGAAAAUUGACGGUACUUCCAGAGAAAGCCACGGCUAACUACGUGCCAGCCGCUGC